GCUGGAGCUGCUGGUGGAGGAGCUGGUGGAGGACGAGAACCGCAUUGUCACCUACAAGAUGCUGAGCCAUUCCUUUAGCAUUCACAUCAACCAGGCGAAACAGUUGCUCUAUCACUAUGUGGAGCGAAAGAGGAAAGAAAAUUCUGGGGCACAGCUCCAUGUGACCUAUCUCGUCUCUGGGAAGGC